GAUGAACGCUGGCGGCGUGCCUAAUACAUGCAAGUCGAGCGAACGGACGAGAAGCUUGCUUCUCUGAUGUUAGCGGCGGACGGGUGAGUAACACGUGGAUAACCUACCUAUAAGACUGGGAUAACUUCGGGAAACCGGAGCUAAUACCGGAUAAUAUUUUGAACCACAUGGUUCAAAAGUGAAAGACGGUCUUGCUGUCACUUAUAGAUGGAUCCGCGCUGCAUUAGCUAGUUGGUAAGGUAACGGCUUACCAAGGCAACGAUGCAUAGCCGACCUGAGAGGGUGAUCGGCCACACUGGAACUGAGACACGGUCCAGACUCCUACGGGAGGCAGCAGUAGGGAAUCUUCCGCAAUGGGCGAAAGCCUGACGGAGCAACGCCGCGUGAGUGAUGAAGGUCUUAGGAUCGUAAAACUCUGUUAUUAGGGAAGAACAUAUGUGUAAGUAACUGUGCACAUCUUGACGGUACCUAAUCAGAAAGCCACGGCUAACUACGUG
rnacentral:rRNA from 1 species